GAAAGUAGACAUGAAAACUGUGGACUUUGCUGUACUCUGGGAACCUUUGCUGUGAGUCUGACCCUUUGGAUCUUAGAGAAUAGGGUGGGUGACAUGAAAAAGGAAUGGAAAGACCUCCGUAGGAACAGAGACGGGACUUCUGAAGGGCUAGCUCCUGUUUCUAUCCUCUGUGUUCACAGUAGCCAAGCAGCCAAAUUGCCUUUCCUAUGAAGGUUUAAUCCAGCCUGGAUCACAAGGAGGAGGUGGUUGAGCAAUGUGUGGACGAAGGGCUUGCCUUGCCUUUGAUCGCAGUGUAUAAAACUGAAGACUGAUCACAAGAAGAGAUGUCCUAGCAGGACUGCUACGACCUAAGUCACAAGUUGACUGACAAAGUGUGGUGAUUCAUUCUCACUUAAAUAUUAAUUACUAAAAAACCCAAGGCUAGCAGAGCGAUGCAGGCCUGUGGUCCUAGCUCUUGGAAAGUAGAAGCAGGAAGCUGAAGGAGUUCACUAUCGUCUUCAUCUACAGAGAGAGUCUGAAGCCAGCCUGGGCUAUAUGAGACUACCAGAACAACAAAGCGAAUCAGCCAUCAACAUCCUCUGUCCCAGUCUCUUUCUGUAACAUCAGCUCCUUCUAAAGUAGUAGACUUUAUGUUUCAUAUCAUGUGAUCCCAGUUUGAUUUCAUGGGUGAGAGGACUAGAGGCAAGACCUGAUUCUAGGACAGCCAGUCUGCUUGUUCUUCUGGUCUGUGAGUCGGUCUAAAAGCACACUGGGGCAGAGACAGAUCUGCUGUUAUCUUGCCCUCUAUGCUCUUUUGUUUUGUUUUGUUUUGUUUAAGAUUUAUUUAUUUAUUUUUAUGUAUAUGAGUACCCUGUAGCUGUACAGAUGGUUGUGAACCUUCAUGUGGUUAUUGGAAAUUGUAUUUAAGACCUCUGCUCGAUCCGGUCAAUCCCACUCGCUCCAGUUGCCCCCACUCGCUCCGGCCCAAAGAUAUAUUUAUUAUUAUACACAAGUACACUGUAGCUAUCUUCAGACACACCAGAAGAGAGCAUCAGAUCUCAUUACGGGUGGUUGUGAGCCACCACGUGGUUGCUGGGAUUUGAACUUAGGACCUUCUGAAGAGCAGUCAGUGCUCUUAACCACUGAGCCAUGGCGCCAGCCCCUCUAUGUUCUUUAUACACAUAUUUUUUACGUUUUUGUACUAAGUGCAUUUUUUAGUGUUAAUUUAUUGUGUAUUGUGUAUAGGAAGAGGGUGGGUGUGUGGGUAUUAUACCUUAGCAUGUGUAUAAAGGUCACAGGGUAGUUUUCAGGAGUCCCCUUUCUUCUUCCAUGUUGUGUAUCUGUGGACAAAACUCAGGUUGGCAGGUUUGGCAGCAAGAGCCUUUACCCACCGAGAUGUCUCGUUUUGUUAAGGUUUGUUGCUUUGCUUUAUAAUUUGUUUUCCCCUGAGAAAAGGAAGGAGGAACAGGAAGAUGGACAUACUGAGGUGAGUGAGAAUUCGGGGAUGGCUGUACUGGAACAGUCAGUCCUUCUGUUGGUGACAAUGCGCUGGCACAGCCAUUCUGUCCCUAUAGAGGAGCCAUGAAAACCAAGAGAGACCUUAUCAGCCAGUAGGAAAGCAGGAAGAGGCGUGACCCAGCUCUAUUUUCUUGAUGAAAUCAGUGAAGUUUUUUGUAUUUUAACUGAUAGGUUCAGAAGCACCUUUGAGUGGCUCUCACCUGAGAGCCACUGGCUUUCAGUACUAGUUUUUUUCUGAAGCUAGCCCAUUAGGGUUUCCUUUGAUGGAUCUUUUUAGAAGAUGCUUCCGUUAUCUGUUCCCUGUAUGCAAUGUUGGGGAUUAAACAGAACCCUGAACAUUCCGGACAAGCCCUUUACCAUUGAGCUAUGACCUGUGUGCACUCUUAAACACUCCCAUGACCUUAUCAUGUGUCGUUCUUAAUAUUCUUAUGCUCGAGCUAGCUGCCAAGAGGAGAUAGAGACUUGCAGCCAAACUAAAGUCCAAGUAUGCACUGGCUAGUAGGCUACAAGAGUGGAGUCAAAAUAAAGGGGACUGAGGGGUCAGGAACGUCUGAAACAGAAGUGGCAGGUGAAGAGCCCAGGGUCCACACCUGGGCUCCAGUACUCGGGAGGAGGAAGCCGGAGUUCAAGAUCAGCCUGGGCUCUAAAGAAAAGGAAAAAAACCUAGAUGAUUCUGUAAAGGCUCAUGAAGUUACAAAUAAUGUUCCUGAAACCAGUGUAUGUUG
rnacentral:lncRNA from 1 species